rnacentral:rRNA from 1 species
UACGUAGGGUGCGAGCGUUGUUCGGAAUUACUGGGCGUAAAGCGCACGUAGGCGGAUAUUUAAGUCAGGGGUGAAAUCCCAGAGCUCAACUCUGGAACUGCCUUUGAUACUGGGUAUCUGGAGUAUGGAAGAGGUGAGUGGAAUUCCGAGUGUAGAGGUGAAAUUCGUAGAUAUUCGGAGGAACACCAGUGGCGAAGGCGGCUCACUGGUCCAUUACUGACGCUGAGGUGCGAAAGCGUGGGGAGCAAACAGG